AGGGUUUGAUCAUGGCUCAGGAUGAACGCUGGCGGUAUGCCUUAUACAUGCAAGUCGUACGAGAGUUUUUAACUCAAGUGGCGGACGGGUGAGUAACACGUAAGAAUUUGCCUUUAGGAGGGGGAUAACGACUGUAACCGGUUGCUAAUACCCCAUAUGCUAACAGUGAAAUGGAUUUUCCGCCUAAAGAGAAGCUUGCGGCUGAUUAGCUUGUUGGUGAGGUAAUGGCUCACCAAGGCGACGAUCAGUAUCUGGUUUGAGAGGAUGAUCAGCAACACUGGGACUGAGACACGGCCCAGACUCCUACGGGAGGCAGCAGUGGGGAAUCUUAGACAAUGGGCGAAAGCCUGAUCUAGCGAUGCCGCGUGAGUGAUGAAGGUCUUAGGGUCGUAAAGCUCUUUCGCCAGGGAUGAUAAUGACAGUACCUGGUAAAGAAACCCCGGCUAACUCCGUGCCAGCCGCCGCGGUAAUAC
rnacentral:rRNA from 1 species